GAGGGUAUAGCUCAAAGUGGUAGAGCACAUGCUUAGCACACACGAGGUCCUGGGUUCAAUCCCCAGUACCUCUU
rnacentral:tRNA from 1 species